rnacentral:rRNA from 1 species
GACGAACGCUGGCGGCGUGCUUAACACAUGCAAGUCGAACGGAAAGGCCCUGCUUUUGUGGGGUGCUCGAGUGGCGAACGGGUGAGUAACACGUGAGUAACCUGCCCUUGACUUUGGGAUAACUUCAGGAAACUGGGGCUAAUACCGGAUAGGAUCUCCUGCUGCAUGUUGGGGGUUGGAAAGUUUCGGCGGUUGGGGAUGGACUCGCGGCUUAUCAGCUUGUUGGUGGGGUAGUGGCUUACCAAGGCUGUGACGGGUAGCCGGCCUGAGAGGGGGACCGGCCACAUUGGGACUGAGAUACGGCGCAGAAUCGUACGGGAGGCAGCAGGGGGGAAUAUUGCACAAUGGCGGGAAGCCUGAUGCAGCAACGCCGCGUGCGGGAUGACGGCCUUCGGGUUGUAAACCGCUUUCGACUGUGACGAAGAGGGAGUGACGGUAAUGGGUAAAGAAGCACCGGCUAACUACGUG